rnacentral:rRNA from 1 species
AUUGAACGCUGGCGGCAUGCCUUACACAUGCAAGUCGAACGGCAGCACGGGGGCAACCCUGGUGGCGAGUGGCGAACGGGUGAGUAAUACAUCGGAAUGUACCCAGUAGUGGGGGGAUAACUAGUCGAAAGAUUAGCUAAUACCGCAUACGCACUAUGGUGGAAAGCGGGGGAUCGCAAGACCUCGCGCUAUUGGAGCAGCCGAUGUCCGAUUAGGUAGUUGGUGGGGUAAAAGCCUACCAAGCCUGCGAUCGGUAACUGGUCUGAGAGGACGACCAGUCACACUGGGACUGAGACACGGCCCAGACUCCUACGGGAGGCAGCAGUGGGGAAUUUUGGACAAUGGGGGAAACCCUGAUCCAGCAAUGCCGCGUGUGUGACGAAGGCC